GGCGCUUUGUGUCCGACUGCAGAGCUCGCCUCCUCCCUGCGACAGGUUCUGCACGAGACGGGCUGCGCCGGCCAGGGGCUCAGCUCAUGGGAACCCGCCGGCCGGCGCGGCAGGUACGUCAACGAUUCUCGCAGCUCUCCGCUCUGACCUCUGACCGACGGCUGGCCCCAAACCCGCGGUUCAACGUUUUAUCGCCAUCGAGUUCAGUUGAGAUGGAAAACGACCUCUAUUGAAGAAAGGUGAAAGAAGCUAGAGAGCUUCAGAAAUUGCUUCAAGAAAGCAGGAAUAAUCUAAACUAAAAUAGCACAGCAGAAUCUAAACCUGAGUUCUGCUGAGUACAAAGUCAUGGAUCAAACCACUGCGUGCUUCACUCGCCGCCACAUGUGUGUUUUAGUAACUGAUGUUAAAAUUCGCCAUCAAUAUUAUCAUCUUGCCGCAAAAACAAAGGUGUUUCGGCUUGCGCCGCUAUCCGAAGGGGUUGGUCAGGCAUCAGCAAUUUACCGUCUCAGCGAAAUCGACAACUUUUCAAAAUGACCAGUAGCCUGUCUUACGGGCAAAUCAGUGCUCUCAACGGCUGUGAAAACAUCCAGACGGCGAGACUUCCUAUAUGGCGAGCGGUAGCACUAUUUCAACAAGAAGGGAAAGCGUACACUAGCCAGCAGAAACGAACUCAUCAAGUGGCAUAGAUUGGUCGAUAUCAAUUCAACAUGUGUUGUGCUCUGAAACGCAAAAAGAAGCAAACCUUCAAGCAGAUUCCUGUUCAUAAAAUGGAAGAGGACUGGUGGCAUCUUCAAAUGUAAAGAUGUUAACGAUACAAAGGUUAACAGUGGUUUACUGAACAUGGCCUCUGAAAUGGCUUAACCAUAUAGUUAACAGGGAUGCACAGUUUAACGGCAACUUCGAACCAUAGCAAAACCUGGCGUUUUUCAAUUUAACAGACCAUUGUCGAGACGAAAGAGGCGGAUGUGUAAUAAAACCUUCCAGGAAUGGCUGAGAAUUUAACUCUUUAGCUUCAUAUUCUUGGAUUUGGAGUCUGACACUUUCCCGCUUAGCCACGAAGCCUUGAUUACCCAAGACGAAUUCCAGGGUGUUUCCUUAAACAGGCCAAUGCCACUUCCUUAGCCUGCUGUUCUCCAACAGAGGAAGUACUCAGUGAUGAUAACCUUUUUAUCAUUUUGAAAGCUUUGUUUAAUGCAGUUUAUUAAUUAAUAUGCUACGCAAUCACUAACGACUCAUGGAAAUGCAGUCUAUCUAUUCAAAAGCAGACAGGUAUAUGUGACUUUAUAUUAAUGUGAAGACUAUCAAACUAUAACCAUCCUUAAAACACAGCAGUUAUGCUAUAGGUUUUCUGAAAAUAAAAGCACUAAUUCCCUGCCCAGUCCACAAGCAAUGAUGAAAGAUCAGGUUUGAGUGUCCCGUUAAAAACGGAAUUAUCAGAAAAAGGUCGAGACUCCCUCUGUUCAACAGUCAAAAACGACGGAUAAAGAAAGGGGAAUGAAACAGUGGAUAAAUAAAUAGAUAGCCGUGUGGUACUGUCGGCUGUGAGACUGAGGAGCUCCUCCGACUUCUAAUCGAAAACGGUUUCCGUCCUACACACACAUGGCCCCUUUCUACAUGUUGCAUGGUAGCUGUGUCUUCAGCGCGUCUGUUAAGUGUAGGUGACUAUAAUGGUUGUGUGUACAGUAUGGAGUCACAUUCGUUUAUUAUAGUGGUGACAAAGGGGAGAGGGUGAAGCCUGGUGUCGGCACAUACCCUACUACAUCGGAAUAGCACCAAGGGGGCACCGCGCUUAACAUCCCCAUUCGACAUCCGACGCUCGAUUGCCAUCAACAGUGUCACUUACCUUAACUGCUUGAAAUACUGCGAAGAUAUGAAACUUCCUGGCAAAUUAAAACUGUGUGCCGGACCGAGACUCGAACUCGGGACCUUUGCCUUUCGCGUGCAAAUGCCCUACCAACUGAGCUACCGAAGCACGACUCACGCCCCGUCUUCACAGCUUUACUUCUCUGCCAGUACCUCGUCUCCUACCUUCCAAACUUUACAGAAGCUCUCCUGCGAACCUUGCAGAACUAGCACUUCUGAAAGAAAGGAUUUUUUUUUUUACAUGGGACCUGCUAUACUGGACGUAUAUUAUAAUGUACAGACUAUCUUUAUACUACGUUCGUAUAACCAAUGUACUUUAAUAUACUCCGUAUCCAUUUUGUACUGUUUUUGUACCACACAGUCUGUAAACCGUAUUUUAAUACCCUUGUAUCCUUACUCCGCAAUAGCUUAUUACAUAGUAAUAGUCCUGUCUCCGUAGCGCAAUAAAUAACAAUAAUUCUGUUUUAAUGAGUACGAUAUAUUAUAAAUUAGAGCUCAUGUGAUGUUUGCAAUGGAAAUUGUCUAUCUAACAGAAGCUACCAUGUACAUUUGUGUACUCUCAACUUCCCUGCCAUUACAGUUGUCCAACGUUAUAGUAAAAAAUAAUUUAGCUGAUCGUAACAUUGUUGGCAGAUAGAAUGAGUUUUGAACACUAGGACUCACGUUGCCCGGCUAAUAUCACGACCAAAGUUCUGUACAGUUGCUUUCUUCAAUAUCAUUGUCUUUAUGAAUGUUAGUUGUUACUAGAUGAUUGCUUUGUAAUCCGUAAACUGGUUAAUAAAAACCAGUAUUUUGAAACAAAA